UUGUGAUUGUGUUCAAAAUACAGGGUUUUGUUUUGCCUAUUUAAUAUUACAAAAUACAACUCAGAGAUAGUUAUGCCCGCUAAGUUUCGACACGCCAGCAGCUGUUCGUGCGCCCGGUCUGGCAUUCGUUAUUAAUUAAAUCAGCAGCCGCAGCGGCAGCCGUAACAACAGCUGAGUGCGACCGAGCCAACGAGUGGGAAUGAGAGGGCAACAAAAGCAGCACCACCAGCAGCAGCAGCCCACAUUUGAGUUAUACAGCCAACAACAACAUCAACGACAA